UGAAAAAUAUUCAGGUUACACUGCAUUCUUUGAUGGUUGAAGAUCUCUUAAAUUUGCCAACAUCAAAAUAUAGAUAUCUCAUGAAAUCAACUGAAAAUUCGAGUCAAAAACGAAGUAAAUCAAGAUCAAGCUUGAAGCCAGCCUUUCUUUCUACCUCUUGCACUAAUAUGGGUUAUCUGUCAACAAAUCUUUUUAUUAAUCAAUGCUCAUCACUUCCUGAUCAACUUAGUACUCAAAAUAUUUUCAGUUUGCAGUUAAAUAAAUUACAAAAAGCAGGAAAGACAGGUAAUUUUAAAGAUACAACUGUAAAAGAAUGUUCAAGUUAUCCUACU
rnacentral:lncRNA from 1 species